CUGUGCGUCUCUGCUCCUGUCUCCACGCCAUAGACUUCCUGCAGGUCUAUCCCCAGAAGCCACAGUGUUGAGAUUCCUCGUCUACACUCCCUCUGAUUUCUCUUUAAGAAAGAGAGCAGGUAUCUGUAACACUUGCUGGGGCAGGAAGACCAUGGAGCCUUGAGGAGAAGAAAACCAAGGCAACCAAAGCAAAAAAAGUUGGCUCUGUUUUCAGAGAAGCCUGAGAAUAAAAGUGUGACUGUAAAGCAAACAAACAAACCAAAGCUGGAAGCCGCAGUCCCACACUCGGCUGGAAUGGAGGAUUCCUCCUGCACGCUAACUUCUCAGCAACUGACUUUGGAUGGAAGUCCUGGCUGGGGAAGUGAUUCCAUCGUGGUGUUCCUUUCAACUCCAACUGACCACUUCCCAUCCCUUUAGCUGUGAGGAAGAACCAAACGUUCCCUAGCUCAACAUUUUCAGAAGGGCAUGUUCCAGUCUCCUCCUAAAACAGACUCGAGAAACAGGCCAAGUAGCAGCCUUGGCUUAACCAGCAUAGGCUCACACAAGGACAGGAAAUUCAUCUGGGCUGCUGACAUUCUGAAUAGCUGCCACCUUCGAUGCCAGGAGAGGAGGUAAAAGACAUCGGCAGUGUCGUUAAAUGAAAUGGAUGGUAAUUACAGAGGAGUGAGCUUCGGAAGCUCCUAAAUCUUCUCUGAGGAUGCUGCUGUCACUACUGGUAGCUCUGCUUGCCCCUCCUACACAUCCAUUGCCUUUAGCAUUAGAAAGCACUAUUGCACAACCUAAUAACUGACCCUGCGCACUUGACUGGGAUCAAAAUACCCGCAGCUGGGAAGACAGCUGUCAGUGAAGUUACGUAAGCACGGGGAUUCAUCUUCAAUAUCCAGGACCCACAUAAAAAGCCAGGGGUGGUGGUACAGUCUUGAAAUCCCAGCACUGGGGAAGCAGAGACAGGCAGGUCCCUUAAGCUCACCGGCCAACCACUAUAGCCUAAUCAGUGAGCUUCAGGUCCUCCAAGAGAGACAAGGUAGCCAGAUCCCAAGGGGUGCUACCUGAGGCUGACCUCUGGCCUUCAUAUGCAUGCACACACAUGCCCACAAAGAUCCACACAAUGUGCUCCUUUGGAAAAUCAAACCCACCCUAUACGUCUGAGGGUUUUACUCAGUCUGGACAUUACAAAGGAGUGCUGUGUCUACUAUAGUCCCAUUGACCUCCAGGGCUAAAGACUGGAAUUCUAGGCCUCAGAUAUGUUACCUUCUUUGCUCAGAGAUUGUUCUCAAAAAUUUUAAGACACUUUCUUGCUGGCAUCACCCUCUGGAUCCUUCUAUGUUGGCUUCCCAGGUUCUGGGUCUACAGAUGUCUAUAGCACCUCUGCUCUGCUUCUCGCCCAGCUUGGUGUAGAAUACAGAUGGUAUUGUGGAUGCUGGGAAGUGCUUGCUAAUGGAAACUUGAUAUGGCUGCCUCCUGAGAGAAUCUGCCAGAGCCUGACAAAUACAGAGGUGGAAGCUUGCAGCCAACCAUUGGACUGAGCGUAGGGUUCCCCGAUGGAGGAGUUGAAGAAGGGACUGAAGGAGCUGAGGGGGUUUGCAGUCACAUGGAGGGAGCAACAGUGUCAACCGGCCAGACCUGCCCCAUCCCCCCAGACCCCGGGACUGGACCACCAAACAAAGAAUACACAUGGAGGGACCCAUGGAGCUGGCUGCAUGUGUGGCAGAGAAUGGCUUUGUUGGACAUCAAUGGGAAGAGGGGUCCUAAGGGUGUAGAGGAAUGCCAGUGCAGGAAGCUAGGAGUAGGUGGGUGGGUGGGGGAGCAUCCUCAUAGAGGUAGGGGGAGGAGAGAUGGGAUGGGGGUUUCAGAAGGGAGGCCUGGAAAGGGGAAAACAUUUGAAAUGUAAAUAAAGAAAAUAUCCAUUUUUUUUAAAAG
rnacentral:lncRNA from 1 species